CAAACUGACUCAGCUUUUGGUUCAGAAAGCAGCCAGAAGAAGGAUAACAGAUGGUAACAAGCUUAGGCUCUAAUUCGCCCCCACGCAGAAGGCCUGCACAAAGCUUUAGGCAUUUAUACUCCAUCCAUCACCAUGGUAUCCGAGUCUACAUGCUGGAAUAAUGCACGUGGGCACUGCACCAUAUGGAGCACGGAGCAGCUGUUACCAACCUGGAUCCUUCUUUGGGAAGUACUCUGGUGUUAAAUGAACUGCUCUGAUUGACACGCACAGGAUGGGGCUAAAAGGUACAUCUGUUUGAGAUUGCUUUUAUUAUCUUCUGGUUGUGAGUGGAGGACUGCUCCAGCUGUCCUAAAGACAGAACUGCCACUGACUCCAAGUUCUGUACAGUUCAAACAUUUCCUCAUUUGCUCUGAUUAUUUGCUACACCUUCUUCUUGUGUCUGUUCUUAAAUUAAACUGGAAGCACCUGGGGGCAGGAACUGUCUCUUACUAUAUGUCUGUACAGCAUCUAGUGCAAUUGAGAUCUGAUACUGAUUUGGGCCUCUGGAUGCUACUGUAAUGCAAAUAAUAAAUGACUUGGAGAGUGGAGGGGAGAAUACACUAAUCUAAUAUGAGGAUGAUACAAAACGGAGAGAGACUGUCAAUACACUGAGGGUAGAAUUAAAAUACAGUAUGAGCUUGAUAGAUAAGAAAAAUGAACUGAAAUCUAUCAAAGGAGAUACAAUCUAAUGUAAAGCUGAUGUAGGAAGAAAUAAUCAAAUUCACAAAAGUAAAAUGAGGCAUGAUUGGCUAGGCAGCAGUGCUGCAGGAAUGGAUCUGGAGGUUAUAGGAGAUGAUAAACUGGACAUCAGGUAAAACAUUGUUGCGAACAGGAAAACGCCAUCUAGGGUUAUCUUAACAGGAAUCUCUCGUGAAAUAAAUGAGGUAAUUAUUUUGGCACUGGUUGGCUUUCUGGUUAGGCUUCAUGUGAUCACAUUUGUAAAGGGGCACACCAACUGGAGAGAAAUCAGAGGAGGAACAUAUAAAAAUAAAUGACAAAAGUUGUAGAAAAUAAAAUCACUGAAGUAAAGGUUAAGAGAACUGGAGAUGUUCAAUAUGGAGAAGAGAUGGUGGGGAGGUGGAGGGGAGAGGUUUAACUACCUACAAAGACAGUACUUACCAAGGUACUAUAAAGAGGAUAGGGAUCAAUUACUCUCAGGAGCUAUCAAGGACAGAACUUGAAAUAUAACAGGCAUAAGAUGCAGCAGGGAAAAUGCAGGGCAAAUAUUAACAUGUUAAGGCAAACCCUGCUGUGACAAAGUAAAGGUGCUGCAAUCUGUAACAGGGUUAACUGGUCCCACGGGGACUCAUGUGGCUGCUCAGGGCCAGAGUGUACAAGGAAGGGGAAGUGAAGAUCAAAGGGAAAACUAAGGAGAAGAGAGUGCCUUCUCCCCUCUGGGUUGGGCGAAGUGGAGACAGCCUGUGGGGAUUAUUGCCCAGAGUCGCCAGUUGAUUUGUUUUUGUUUUGUGACUGUUUUGUAGACAAUAAAAUAAACCCCAAGGAAAGGGCCUUGAAAAUAUGGGUGCCUGGAGGUUUAUUUCCCUUCCCUGGCUAGUGAAACCGCCCACUAGGUUACACCUGCCUUGAUUUACACCCUGUGCAGUUCCAUU